rnacentral:rRNA from 1 species
UACGUAUGGGGCAAGCGUUAUCCGGAUUCAUUGGGCGUAAAGAGCGCGUAGGCGGCUUGUUAAGUCAGAUGUGAAACCUGGGGGCUCAACCCGCAGCGUGCAUCUGAAACUGGCAGGCUUGAGUCUGGUAGAGGAAAGUGGAAUUCCUAGUGUAGCGGUGAAAUGCGCAGAUAUUAGGAGGAACACCAGUGGCGAAGGCGGCUUUCUGGGCCACGACUGACGCUGAGGCGCGAAAGCUAGGGGAGCAAACAGG